rnacentral:misc_RNA from 1 species
GAUGAAGAACGUAGCAAAAUGCGAUACUUGGUGUGAAUUGCAGAAUCCCGUGAACCAUCGAGUUUUUGAACGCAAGUUGCGCCCGAAACCAUCCGGUUGAGGGCACGCCUGCCUGGGUGUCACGCAUCGCGUCGUCCCCCAACAUACUCUCCCAUACUGGGUUGUCAUGUUGAUUGGGGACGGAGAUUGGCCUCCUGUGCUUCUGGUGCGGUUGGCCUAAAAUAGGAGGCCCCUUCGGUGGAUACACGGCUAGUGGUGGUUGUUAAGACCCUCGUAUUGUGCUGUGUGUUGUGAGCUGUUAGGGAAACCCUCACCAAAGACCCUAUUGUAUCGUCUUGGUACGAUGCUUCGACCGCGACCCCAGGUCAGGCGGGACUACCCGCUGAGUUUAAGCAUAUCAAUAAGCGGAGGA